rfam:Brachypodium distachyon strain Bd21 chromosome 4, whole genome shotgun sequence.
GAAUUACUCCCUCCGUUCCAUAAUUCUUGUCGAAAUCUUACAUGUAUCUAGACACCUUUUAGGAAUAGAUACAUCCUUUUUGGGCAAAUUUGAGACAAGAAUUAUGGAACGGAGGGAGUACUUG